UUUCAUGGAUUAGCAAAUAAAGUAGUUUCCUGAGAUGGAGUCUACUCCCGGUGAAGAUGCUUUGAA
rnacentral:pre_miRNA from 1 species